rnacentral:lncRNA from 1 species
GUGGUAGUCCUUGUCGUUCAGAAAUCUGACAAAAUUCAACCAUCGGUAAGACUUCUAAUCACUCUUCUUCAAUCAAUUACUCACUCACACACAUUACUUUCCCCUUUCAAAUCAACACUCUGCAUCAUCAUCUGCAUGCUCCUAACCCCAUUCAAACUACAGGUAUCACUGCUUGGUUGAAUGGGUUGGAGAAAGGUGUUUGAGAUGAAAAGAAAACAAGAUUUUGUGGAAGUGUUGAAAUGGAAAAAAAAGCUGGGUUGAAGUUUGAUGUAGGAAAAGAAGUGGAAUUGAAAGAGGUGGGUUCAUGAUUAGCCCCUCCAUUAUGUAGUUUGAAUCCAAACAUACACCAAUUACACUGAGACCACAGUUUUUUUUUACCUCAAACAACAUAAAUCAGUAUGAAAUUGUCAAGUUCCAUGGAUCAAAGAAGGUUGAGAAAAUAAAAUUUAAUCCAAACAUGAAUACAUACAUACAAGUGGUAACAGAAAUUUGAAGCAGAGAGGAAGCAAAAAUGAAGUAACGGAAGAGGAGAGGGUUUGGUUGGGGUACCUGGGGGAGGCGCCGAUGA